GGAAUAUUGGACAAUGGGCGAAAGCCUGAUCCAGCCAUGCCGCGUGUGUGAAGAAGGUCUUCGGAUUGUAAAGCACUUUAUGUUGGGAGGAAGGGCAGUAAGUUAAUACCUUGCUGCUUUGACGUUACCGACAGAAUAAGAACCGGCUAACUCUGUGCCAGCAGCCGCGGUAAUACAGAGGGUGCAAGCGUUAAUCGGAAUUACUGGGCGUAAAGCGCGGGGAGGUGGUUCGUUAAGUUGGAUGGGAAAGCCCCGGGCUCAACCUGGGAACUGCAUCCAAAACUGGCGAGCUAGAGUAUGGUAGAGGGUGGUGGAACUUCCUGUGUAGCGGUGAAAUGCGUAGAUAUAGGAAGGAACACCAGUGGCGAAGGCGACCACCUGGACUGAUACUGACACUGAGGUGCGAAAGCGUGGGGAGCA
rnacentral:rRNA from 1 species